rnacentral:rRNA from 1 species
UACGGGGGGGCAAGCGUUGUUCGGAAUUACUGGGCGUAAAGGGCUCGUAGGUGGCCAACUAAGUCAGACGUGAAAUCCCUCGGCUUAACCGGGGAACUGCGUCUGAUACUGGACGGCUUGAGUAUGGGAGGGGAACGUAGAAUUCCUGGUGUAGCGGUGAAAUGCGCAGAUAUCAGGAGGAACACCGGUGGCGAAGGCGGUUCUCUGGGCCUUACCUGACACUGAGGAGCGAAAGCGUGGGGAGCAAACAGG